rnacentral:rRNA from 1 species
UACGUAGGGAGCAAGCGUUGUCCGGAAUCAUUGGGCGUAAAGCGCGCGUAGGUGGCUUCGUAAGUCCGUUGUGAAAGUCAAAGGCUCAACCUUUGAAAGCCGAUGGAUACUGCGGAGCUAGAGUACGGAAGAGGCGAGUGGAAUUCCUGGUGUAGCGGUGAAAUGCGCAGAUAUCGGGAGGAACACCGGUGGCGAAGGCGGUUCUCUGGGCCUUACCUGACGCUGAGGAGCGAAAGCGUGGGGAGCGAACAGG